rnacentral:rRNA from 1 species
UAGGGAAUCUUCGGCAAUGGACGAAAGUCUGACAGAGCAACGCCGCGUGAGUGAAGAAGGUUUUCGGAUCGUAAAACUCUGUUGUUAGAGAAGAACAAGGACGUCAGUAACUGAACGUCCCCUGACGGUAUCUAACCAGAAAGCCACGGCUAACUACGUGCCAGCAGCCGCGGUAAUACGUAGGUGGCAAGCGUUGUCCGGAUUUAUUGGGCGUAAAGCGAGCGCAGGCGGUUUCUUAAGUCUGAUGUGAAAGCCCCCGGCUCAACCGGGGAGGGUCAUUGGAAACUGGGAGACUUGAGUGCAGAAGAGGAGAGUGGAAUUCCAUGUGUAGCGGUGAAAUGCGUAGAUAUAUGGAGGAACACCAGUGGCGAAGGCGGCUCUCUGGUCUGUAACUGACGCUGAGGCGCGAAAGCGUGGGGAGCAAACAGG